UACGGAGGGGGCAAGCGUUGUCCGGAAUCAUUGGGCGUAAAGCGCGUGUAGGCGGCCCGGUAAGUCCGCUGUGAAAGCCGGGGGCUCAACCCUCGAAUGCCGGUGGAUACUGUCGGGCUAGAGUGCGGGAGAGGCGAGUGGAAUUCCUGGUGUAGCGGUGAAAUGCGCAGAUAUCAGGAGGAACACCAAUUGCGAAGGCAGCUCGCUGGACCGUAACUGACGCUGAGACGCGAAAGCGUGGGGAGCAAACAGG
rnacentral:rRNA from 1 species